GCAGUCGAGCGAUGGAUUAAGAGCUUGCUCUUAUGAAGUUAGCGGCGGACGGGUGAGUAACACGUGGGUAACCUGCCCAUAAGACUGGGAUAACUCCGGGAAACCGGGGCUAAUACCGGAUAAYAUUUUGAACYGCAUGGUUCRAAAUUGAAAGGCGGCUUCGGCUGUCACUUAUGGAUGGACCCGCGUCGCAUUAGCUAGUUGGUGAGGUAACGGCUCACCAAGGCAACGAUGCGUAGCCGACCUGAGAGGGUGAUCGGCCACACUGGGACUGAGACACGGCCCAGACUCCUACGGGAGGCAGCAGUAGGGAAUCUUCCGCAAUGGACGAAAGUCUGACGGAGCAACGCCGCGUGAGUGAUGAAGGCUUUCGGGUCGUAAAACUCUGUUGUUAGGGAAGAACAAGUGCUAGUUGAAUAAGCUGGCACCUUGACGGUACCUAACCAGAAAGCCACGGCUAACUACGUGCCAGCAGCCGCGGUAAUACGUAGGUGGCAAGCGUUAUCCGGAAUUAUUGGGCGUAAAGCGCGCGCAGGUGGUUUCUUAAGUCUGAUGUGAAAGCCCACGGCUCAACCGUGGAGGGUCAUUGGAAACUGGGAGACUUGAGUGCAGAAGAGGAAAGUGGAAUUCCAUGUGUAGCGGUGAAAUGCGUAGAGAUAUGGAGGAACACCAGUGGCGAAAGCGACUUUCUGGUCUGUAACUGACACUGAGCGCG
rnacentral:rRNA from 1 species